AUUGAACGCUGGCGGCAUGCUUUACACAUGCAAGUCGAGCGGCAGCGCGGGGGCAACCCUGGCGGCGAGCGGCGAACGGGUGAGUAAUGCAUCGGAACGUACCCUGGAGUGGGGGAUAACGCCGCGAAAGCGGCGCUAAUACCGCAUAUGCUCUGAGGAGGAAAGUGGGGGACCGCAAGGCCUCACGCUCUGGGAGCGGCCGAUGUCCGAUUAGCUAGUUGGUGAGGUAAAGGCUUACCAAGGCGACGAUCGGUAGCUGGUCUGAGAGGAUGAUCAGCCACACUGGGACUGAGACACGGCCCAGACUCCUACGGGAGGCAGCAGUGGGGAAUUUUGGACAAUGGGCGAAAGCCUGAUCCAGCAAUGCCGCGUGAGUGAUGAAGGCCUUAGGGUUGUAAAGCUCUUUUACCAGGGAUGAUAAUGACAGUACCUGGAGAAUAAGCUCCGGCUAACUCCGUGCCAGCAGCCGCGGUAAU
rnacentral:rRNA from 1 species